rnacentral:tRNA from 1 species
GCGUUGAUAGUUUAAUGGAUAAAACUUUUGUUUUCUAAGCAAAUAAUUAUAGGUUCAACUCCUAUUCGACGUU